rnacentral:rRNA from 1 species
AACACGUGGGGAACCUGCCCCAUAGUCUGGGAUACCACUUGGAAACAGGUGCUAAUACCGGAUAAGAAAGCGGAUCGCAUGAUCAGCUUUUAAAAGGCGGCGUAAGCUGUCGCUAUGGGAUGGCCCCGCGGUGCAUUAGCUAGUUGGUAAGGUAAAGGCUUACCAAGGCGAUGAUGCAUAGCCGAGUUGAGAGACUGAUCGGCCACAUUGGGACUGAGACACGGCCCAAACUCCUACGGGAGGCAGCAGAA